UGGGGAAUAUUGGACAAUGGGCGAAAGCCUGAUCCAGCCAUGCCGCGUGUGUGAAGAAGGUCUUCGGAUUGUAAAGCACUUUAAGUUGGGAGGAAGGGCAGUAAGCGAAUACCUUGCUGUUUUGACGUUACCGACAGAAUAAGCACCGGCUAACUCUGUGCCAGCAGCCGCGGUAAUACAGAGGGUGCAAGCGUUAAUCGGAAUUACUGGGCGUAAAGCGCGCGUAGGUGGUUCGUUAAGUUGAAUGUGAAAGCCCCGGGCUCAACCUGGGAACUGCCUCCAAAACUGGCGAGCUAGAGUAGGGCAGAGGGUGGUGGAAUUUCCUGUGUAGCGGUGGAAUGCGUAGAUAUAGGAAGGAACAACAGUGGCGAAGGCGACCACCUGGGCUCAUACUGACACUGAGGUGCGAAAGCGUAGGGAGCAAACAGG
rnacentral:rRNA from 1 species